UCGGACGCCGCUCGAGCCGAUAAAAACAGAGAGAUACGAACACCGCCGCUCGCCGACGGCUAGUUGGCGGCCGUCGGCGGCGAUCCGGUGGCGCUGGCGCUGGUAGAGGGGACGCCGCUGUAGGUGCGUGAAUGGCCGGAAGCAGGCCGCUGAAUCCCCCCGCCGCUGGCAGCGGCCAGUCUCAGCUCGAGGUGAGCACGCCGGCCCUUACCCUAACUCUGCUUGUCUUCUCUGUUUCUCAAACCAAACCCUUUGCCCCCGAACAAAUCUCAGCUUUUGUUCAGUGUUGUGCCUGAUUGCUUUGCCUAGUCGCCGGUCGCCACACUUUGGGGAUUGGGGUAGUACUGUACAGAGGGCAAUUGGGAAUCGAGCAAUCAAAUGUUUUGCAACUCGCACAGAAACUGGUGUUAAUUAUGCUCCUUUUGAAUUCAUUGUCCUGCUGUUGAACACAACAAUUAUACCAUAGGAGUGGAUACUGACGACAGUACAGUAUAGGUGAUUCUGAUGUAGCCUGUUCUAAUUGAAGUUUAACAUAUUAAUAUACAUCAUUUUGAUAGUGAAAUAGAGCUUAUAUUAUAUAUAAAACGGCUGUUACAAUCCUUACAAAUCAAAGUAGAAACAAAUCUACUCCAGGCUCGUCAGCUACAAGAGCCCCUUCCUCGUUUGUUCUAGCAUAAUAUGCAAACUGGUGGGCAGCUCCAUUGCUCUCUCUUAUGACAUUACACAUGCAGCCUGCACUCCGGAAAAAUGUCCAUCACAAAUCCCUGAAUUCUUUGACAGCAGAUACUACUCUGCCGUGUAGUCCAUUUCAGGCACAGCCGGCCACCCUGUAAAUGUAAAUUUCAGAUAACUGACGGAGGCCAACCACCCAUCUCAUCGAUGGCUUGUAAGCCUCCUCUGCCUCAGAACACCGGUUUAUCUUUCUCUACGUAGAAAGCAAGGUCCCUUGCUAAAACAACAGCACUUCCCUGCCCCGUAGCCGCAACAGAGGAACCACCGGCGUCCAUAUUAGUGUACUCUUUUCUAAUGCAACUACAUAAAUUAUAUAAAAUAAAUGUAAUAUUAUAUUUGUUUUUUAGCCUCUAUAUGAGGUUGUUGAAGGUUAUCUUACUUCCAUAUUUGGGUUUAAAAUAAAGUUAGCAACUUAGCAUACAUAGACUGUACUUCCUUUACAAUCCUGCUUCCAUUACAUGUCAUACUGUAAUUGGUCAACAGAAAGAAUUAAUAGAAGGCAUCACAUCAUAUUAAUCCUGUUCGGUGUUGAUCUCCACCAGACAACUGUUGUAAAAAAAGACCAAUACAUUUAUCACAAAUAUUAUCAUACACAGUACCCUUCUAUAACUUACAUCAUAGAAGUUGUACAAGUUAUGCAGUUGCAAUUUUUGGAAACAACAUGGCAGCUCCGAAAGAAUGUUCCAUCCCACAAAACAUCGAUUCUUAAGAAAAUACAAUUGAAAAAAUAUUACCACUUAUCAGCUAAGAAGAUACAGAGCCUUCUGCACACAGUCUUCUCUUCAGUUUCUUGAUCCUCUGUUCAGCAGAGAGGCAAGGGCUCACCGUUCCACUCUUCUAGGCACUCCAGCAGCGCGUCGAUGUGCUUGCCCUGGUUCAUGGCGACAAACACCUUGUCCACCUCUUCCCCAGGAGACCGUGUCUUCUCCCCAGUCAAGUACUCAGUCCCAAGCUCCUUGCGCACGAACCUGUAGAGCGGGUAUGACCGGCAUCCGGUGAUACGGUUAUGCUGUGUGGCGGUGCCGUUCUCCACGGAGGACCGGGCAGCCUCAACCUCCUUUGGUAACACUGCACGGAGCUCCUGCUCGAAGGCGGCAAGCUUGGCAAAGACAGAUGUCUCCAUGUCGUGCUCGGCCUCACCAUUGGCCAAGGCGUGCUCCACGAGAACCGCACGCAUCUUCUGCAUCAGCGGGUAGUUGGCGCUGCAAGGGUCGUCUGCAUACGCGAACACCGCCUCACGGUCAAUCGUGAGCAGCAGGUCCUUCUCGCAGAAUCGCGCAUUGUGGAGGUGCCCAUUGUUGGUGGUGCUCAAUGUCUUCCUGGCCGUCAUCUUCACACAGCUCUUGACGGCAUCCUUAACAUUCUCCUCCAGAUGGCGGAGGUCGAUGGCCUGGCACAAGGCGACCAUGAAUGUGGAGGACAUGAGCUUGAGUAUGUCAAUGGCCUCAGCGGUCUUCCUGGAGGAGAUGAGACCAAGAGAGUUGACAUCUUGAUUGUGUUGCUCGGCGCUCUGGACAUGGUUGGUCACCGGGUUGCCUAAGAACUGGAGCUCAGAGCAGUAUGAGGCCAUGGCAAUCUCAGCUCCCUUGAAGCCAUAGUCCAAACUCGGAUUGCGCCCGCCGGAGAGGUUGGAAGGCAAACCGUUGUUGUAGAGGUCGUUCACCAGCUCCGAGAACUGGGCAAACAUGAGCUUCCCGAUCGCAGCAAUUGCAAGCCUGGUGUUGUCCAUGGACACGCCGAUAGGCGUACCCUGGAAGUUGCCCCCGUGGAUGGCCUUGCCACGAGAGACGUCGAUGAGUGGGUUGUCGUUGACAGAGUUGAUCUCCCUCUCAAUCGACUUGGUUGCAGCACGGAUUACCUCAAUCUGGGGGCCAAGCCACUGCGGCGAUGUGCGGAGCGCAUACCUAUCUUGCUUUGGCUUCAUCAACGGGUCAAGCUCACCGAGCUUCUUCGCGAGUGCCAUAUAGGAGCUUCCUUCAAGGAUGUGCUCCAUGAUGGCGGCGGCCUCGAUCUGCCCAGGGUGGUGCUUCAGCUUGUGGGUCAAGUGGUCGGUGUACUCCGGCUUGCCGUUCAUGACCUCGCAGAAGACAGCCGAUAGAACCUCGGCAAGGAGGCUGAGGAUGUUAGCCUCGAAAAGCACCAUGGAUGCAAGCCCAGAGCCCACUGCCGUGCCAUUCACCAUGGCAAGCCCCUCCUUGGGCUGCAGCUCAAAGAAGCCAUGCUGGAUGCCGGCGAUCUUGAACGCCUCCGCAGCGUUAACCUUGCUGCCAUCUGGAGCAGUGGCCACGGAGUUUGCCCGACCAGUCACCAGGCCUGCGAUAUAGGAAAGCGGGACGAGGUCGCCGGAGGCGGUGAUCGUGCCCCGGAGCGGCAGGCAUGGUGUCACGUUGGCGUUGAGAAGCGCAGCAACCGUCUCGAGGAUCUCAAAGCGGAUGCCGGAGUACCCCUGGAGCAGAGUGUUGACACGGACGAGCAUGGCCGCCCUUGUCGCUGCAGCAGGCAGAACAUGUUCGUGGCCACCAUUGCCGAACGCUCCGGCAUUAAGGAAUCUGAACAGACAAGAAGUGCACGAAACAAUAAGGUUUCCAGAUCACAGAAAAAUAAGGAGUAUAGACGAUGAACAACUGAAAUAUCUAAUUUGUUGGUCGUUUAGUGUAACUGAUUCGUACCUGAUGAGCUCCCUCUGCAGAGCGCCGCCCUCCUUGGUCCUCCGGUGAGAGGUGGCGCCGAAGCCAGUGGUGACGCCGUAGCUGUCGGUUCCAUUGGCCAUGCUGUUCAUGACCCAGUCGCUGCUCUCCUUGACGCGGCCGCGGGCGGACUCGUCGAGCUCCACCCUGGUGUCGCUGCCGGCGGCCACCGCGGCGACCAUGGCGAUGGUCAGGCUGGCGCCCUCCAUGGUCACCACCGGCCUGCGGUACUCCUCGACCAUCCGCUUCACCGCGUCUAGAUGGCUCCCGGACAGCUCCUCUGCCGCCUUCCCCCAGUUCAGCGGGUCAGCCCGCGCAGGCUGCACGACGCACAAGCCAUCGUCGUUGGCGGCAACGUGCCCUCUGUUCUCGUACUCCAUCGUGAUGUGCAAAGAAGUAGGAAAACAAGCAAGCUAGAAACUGGGCAGGUCUUGCGCUGGAUGAAUUCUGGUAAGCAGAUUUGCGCUGGAGAGAGCUCAGGUUGGAGAUGAAGGUGAGGGAGGCUAGCUCUUCUUGGAGAGGAAUGGUGGGAGAGGAGCAGUUAAAUAGGCAGGGUGGGUGCGGGGUGUGGGUUGGUGUGGCUUUGACCGCUUGAUGGUUGGUGCCGGGGAAGAAGAGAGGCCGAGUCAAGUGCUCCAUUUUCUUGCGUCCUCACAUGCUCAAGUGUUCAGUGUUAAUCAUGCCAUGCAUCAUGUGUUUGUGUGUUAAUUUAACUAGGUGCAUUCUUCUGCUUGAGUUAUGAACGUGCAAAUUAUAUAAUCUACUAAUGUAAACAUGUGUCUUUUUGUCGAUAAUCGGAACGUUUCAAACAAGCGUGGUGGCUGCAGCUUCCACGAUGCAUAAACUACUACUAUAGGAAAUCUUAAAAAAAAAAAAGCUAGACGGACGUAUGGUCUUUGCUUUGACAAAGUAUCUGCGACUCCAAAGCGAGUGGGGUUCUGCAUGCUCUGGACAACAGGAGUUGUUGUCUGCUAAUGAUCCAUGAGCGCUUUCACUUUCACUAGUAUUUUGUGGGGUGCGACGAAGCCCGCAUAUUAUUCCAUUUAAACAUAAGCUUGCACGUGCUCGGUCAUAUGGGUCCUAACGCGCUGCAUGUAUACCACCGUGUGAAAGAUACAGUGCCACUUGACCUGCCAUAUUUCUUAGUGCCACUUGACUUAUUUUUCUCAUCAGUGGAAACGAUUUCUUAGAAGAAAAAACGGCCAAACAAUAAGAGAGACGCCUCUGCCCUUACAAUAUUCCACCCUCUACAAUAUUGUGCAACGUAAGGAGGAUUACGUAGGUAUCGUCCUUCAAACUAUUCCCUUGAACAUCCAGUUCAGACGUACGUUAGUGGGUGAGAGAUGGACAGUCUCGAUGCACUUGGUUCGGAGAUUGAUUGAAGUUCGAUUCUCCGACAUGCCGGACUCAACACAAUGGAAGUUAACUAAAAAUGGGAUAUUUACGGUGAAAUCUUUUUAUACGGAUCUGAUUAAUUCUGGCCCCCUCUCAAGGUCACUACAUAUAUGGAAGGUUAAGGUUCCUUUGCGGAUUAAAAAUUUUAUGUGGUUUGUCCACAAGCAAGUAAUACUCACAAAGAACAACUUACUUAAGAGGUGAUGGGUAGGCAAUUCGCGGUGUUGUUUUUGUGCUCAGGAUGAGACAAUACAACAUUUAUUCCUUGAAUGCCCACUCGCCAAGUUACUUUGGAGAACGAUUCAUAUAGUUUUUAAUAUCAAUCCUCCAGUAGAUAUUGCGUCUUUGUUUGGGACGUGGUUAGCUGGGGUUGAACAGAUCACGGCUGCUCGUAUUCGGAUUGGAAUAUGUGCGUUAUUAUGAGCUAUAUGGAACUGCAGAAAUGAUAUGAUUUUUAACAGACAACACAACUUAACUUUUUUGCAGGUUAUCUUCAGAGCUACAGCUUGGAUCCGUACGUGGUCCUUACUCACUCCUAUAGACUCCAGGGAGCCUUGGUUACUGGGCGCAACCAAUGGGAGAUGGUGCCUCGGGUUAUAUUCAACCGGUUCGGAUGACGUUCGCAUAACAGGAUAGGAGUCUAGAGAGCUUAUCCUUAUUAUUACCGUAUCGGUUGUCUUUGUCCGCUUGUAAUUUUCAGGUUUAUGUACUUUGUUUUGCUCCGUUUGCGAGCUGUAAGACCUUUACGUUGAUACUUUCUGGAUUUUUAAUAAGAGGGCCGCAUGCAUCAUCAUGAUGCAGAGGCCGGGGGUAUAGCUCCAUUUCCAGAAAAAAAAAAACGGCCAUCCUCUCGUCAGUCCUCCGCGUGCACAUGUGAAC
rnacentral:lncRNA from 1 species